GACGAACGCUGGCGGCGUGCUUAACACAUGCAAGUCGAACGAAGAGCGAUGGAAGCUUGCUUCUAUCAAUCUUAGUGGCGAACGGGUGAGUAACGCGUAAUCAACCUGCCCUUCAGAGGGGGACAACAGUUGGAAACGACUGCUAAUACCGCAUACGAUCUAAUCUCGGCAUCGAGGAUAGAUGAAAGGUGGCCUCUACAUGUAAGCUAUCACUGAAGGAGGGGAUUGCGUCUGAUUAGCUAGUUGGAGGGGUAACGGCCCACCAAGGCGAUGAUCAGUAGCCGGUCUGAGAGGAUGAACGGCCACAUUGGGACUGAGACACGGCCCAGACUCCUACGGGAGGCAGCAGUGGGGAAUCUUCCGCAAUGGACGAAAGUCUGACGGAGCAACGCCGCGUGAGUGAUGACGGCCUUCGGGUUGUAAAGCUCUGUUAAUCGGGACGAAAGGCCUUCUUGCGAAUAGUUAGAAGGAUUGACGGACCGAAUAGAAGCCACGCAU
rnacentral:rRNA from 1 species